rnacentral:rRNA from 1 species
UACGAAGGGGGCUAGCGUUGUUCGGAAUCACUGGGCGUAAAGCGCUCGUAGGCGGAUUUGUUAGUCAGGGGUGAAAUCCCGGAGCUCAACUCCGGAACUGCCUUUGAUACUGCAAGUCUCGAGUCCGAUAGAGGUGGGUGGAAUUCCUAGUGUAGAGGUGAAAUUUGUAGAUAUUAGGAAGAACACCGGUGGCGAAGGCGGCCCACUGGAUCGGUACUGACGCGGAGGUGCGAAAGCGUGGGGAGCAAACAGG